UGCAGCUUCACCGCCACCGCUGCUGGGAGAAGUCCAAGGAGCGCAGAGGGAGAGAGAGCGCGGGUCUCAGCGGCUGCCAGUGUCUCCUCACCGCGGAGUGUCCGGUAGCACGCAGGCAGCACUUCAGCACAGAGAGUAGCAGCUGCAGAAAAAAGGACAGCAACUUGAUUCCAGGCCAACUAAUGAGCUGUGCGCAAGAGCAGCUGAGGG